UACGUAGGGUGCAAGCGUUAAUCGGAAUUACUGGGCGUAAAGUGUGCGCAGGCGGCCUUGCAAGUCGAGUGUGAAAGCCCCGGGCUUAACUUGGGAAUGGCGAUGGAUACUGGCUCGCUAGAGUGCGGUAGAGGAGAGUGGAAUUCCCGGUGUAGCAGUGAAAUGCGUAGAGAUCGGGAGGAACACCAGUGGCGAAGGCGGCUCACUGGACCGGAACUGACGCUGAGGCGCGAAAGCGUGGGGAGCAAACAGG
rnacentral:rRNA from 1 species